rnacentral:misc_RNA from 1 species
AACGCACCUUGCGCCCUUUGGUAUUCCGAAGAGCAUGCCUGUUUGAGUGUCAUUAAAUUCUCAAACCAACAAUCUUUAUUGAUUUGUUGGCUUUGGACUCUGAGGGUCUGCUGAUGAAAGUCGGCUCCCUUUAAAUGUAUUAGCUGGCAUUGACUGCCAGACUAUGGUGUGAUAAUUAUCUACGCUAUUGGUCUGACAUGUUGGCUGCUUCUAACCGUCUUUCGGGACAACUUAUGACAAUUUGACCUCAAAUCAGGUAGGACUACCCGCUGAACUUAA